rnacentral:rRNA from 1 species
UACGUAGGGGGCAAGCGUUGUCCGGAAUCAUUGGGCGUAAAGCGCGCGUAGGCGGCCUCAUAAGUCCGUUGUGAAAGUCAAAGGCUCAACCUUUGAAAGCCGAUGGAUACUGUGAGGCUAGAGUCCGGAAGAGGCGAGUGGAAUUCCUGGUGUAGCGGUGGAAUGCGCAGAUAUCAGGAGGAACACCAAUAGCGAAGGCAGCUCGCUGGGACGGUACUGACGCUAAGGCGCGAAAGCGUGGGGAGCGAACAGGA